UACGUAGGGUGCGAGCGUUUAAUCGGAAUUACUGGGCGUAAAGCGUGCGUAGGCGGUUCGUUAAGUCAGCUGUGAAAGCCCCGGGCUCAACCUGGGAACUGCGGUUGAAACUGGCGAACUAGAAUCUGGCGAGAGGGGGGUGGAAUUCCACGUGUAGCAGUGAAAUGCGUAGAGAUGUGGAGGAACACCGAUGGCGAAGGCAGCCCCCUGGGCUGAGAUUGACGCUCAGGCACGAAAGCGUGGGGAGCAAACAGG
rnacentral:rRNA from 1 species